rnacentral:rRNA from 1 species
AACGAACGCUGGCGGCAGGCCUAACACAUGCAAGUCGAGCGCCCCGCAAGGGGAGCGGCGGACGGGUGAGUAACACGUGGGAAUUUUCCUCAAGGUACGGAACAACUCAGGGAAACUUGGGCUAAUACCGUAUGAUGCAGAGAUGCCAAAGAUUUAUCGCCUUGGGAUAAGCCCGCGUCAGAUUAGGUAGUUGGUGAGGUAACGGCUCACCAAGCCUGUGAUCUGUAGCUGGUCUGAGAGGACGAUCAGCCACAUUGGGACUGAGACACGGCCCAAACGCCUACGGGAGGCAGCAGUGGGAAUCUUGCGCAAUGGGCGAAAGCCUGACGCAGCCAUGCCGCGUGAAUGAUGAAGGUCUUAGGAUUGUAAAGUUCUUUCGCUCGUGACGAUGAUGACGGUAACGAGAGAAGAAGCCCCGGCUAACUUCGUGCCAGCCGCCGCGGUAAUAC